UGUUCUUCGUGAACAUGGCGUACUGCUCAGUAACACGUGGAUAACCUGCCCUUGGGUCCGGCAUAACCCCGGGAAACUGGGGAUAAUUCCGGAUAACGCACAUAUGCUGGAAUGCUUUAUGCGUCAAAUGGAUUCGUCUGCCCAAGGAUGGGUCUGCGGCCUAUCAGGUAGUAGUGGGUGUAAUGUACCUACUAGCCGACGACGGGUACGGGUUGUGAGAGCAAGAGCCCGGAGAUGGAUUCUGAGACAUGAAUCCAGGCCCUACGGGGCGCAGCAGGCGCGAAAACUUUACAAUGCGGGAAACCGUGAUAAGGGGACACCGAGUGCCAGCAUCAUAUGCUGGCUGUCCGGGUGUGUAAAAUACACCUGUUAGCAAGGGCCGGGCAAGACCGGUGCCAGCCGCCGCGGUAACACCGGCGGCCCGAGUGGUGAUCGUGAUUAUUGGGUCUAAAGGGUCCGUAGCCGGUUUGGUCAGUCCUCCGGGAAAUCUGACGGCUUAACCGUUAGGCUUUCGGAGGAUACUGCCAGGCUUGGAACCGGGAGAGGUAAGAGGUACUACAGGGGUAGGAGUGAAAUCUUGUAAUCCCUGUGGGACCACCUGUGGCGAAGGCGUCUUACCAGAACGGGUUCGACGGUGAGGGACGAAAGCUGGGGGCACGAACCGGAUUAGAUACCCGGGUAAUCCCAGCCGUAAACGAUGCUCGCUAGGUGUCAGG
rnacentral:rRNA from 1 species